GGAUAGUCCUUGUUUGUAGUGUGGGUAUCAGGAGAAUGAGGCAAGCCAAGCUGUGAGGAGUCUGUGGGUCAUGGCUUUGGCAGCGUGGAACCUGGGACAUAGAGUCCCCCUUGAUACGGCUGUUCAGCAGACCAACUUUGUUGUAAAUAUUUAGAUAAAAAUGGGCUUUAGAGCAGCCACAUCUGAAGACCCACAAGGCUGAAUGUUACACAGGGGGAGCACCAUUAUUUAAUCUGAACAUCUGGAAUCCAUCAUGUGUAGUGAAGGACAAGAUGUAUCCUCAUUUUUAAGCCAACUCCAUGAUAAAAUUGAUGGAUGGGACCAAUGUGUACAGGUGAAGAAGAUUGAUACUUAAGAUCUGUAUGUUGUGAUAGGAAGAUCAUAAGAGGACUUUUAUUCUGCUUCAUUUUUUUUUACUUUAUUUCAUUAUAUUGUAUUUUAUUUUAUUUAUGGCACAGCAAUCAGAAUCUGAUUGAAGAUAAACUCAUCCUAUUUGGAUCAGAGCAUUAGAAGAAAGAAAGAACUGACACUUCUCAACCUUCUCUAGUUGAAGACUUCUCUUUGCUAUAACUACUUGAAGAGUUCAGCAGAAAAAUUUUACUGAAGAAUCCCUGAUCCUCCUUUAAGUAGCUGUAGAGAAUAUUCACUAAGUGUAAUGGGACACGUCUCUCUCAUGCCCACUUCUUUUCUCUUAUCCCUGCAAGAAAAUGAAGUUUUGUUGGAGUCAGAGGUUUAUUUUAGUUUAUUUUAAUCAGAAACGUGUAUGAAAUCCAAAGCACAUGAUCUUCAUUUUUAAUAACGUAAACCAUCCCCAUGUUUAUGUGCUUUCUCUGGUCCUCAACCUUUUUUUUUCUUUUUAAUUUUAAGAACAUCUGUCCCCACUGCAACUUCACUUUCAUCAGGAAAUCUAAUUACAGAGAUAGAAAAGAGUAUAGUAGGUGAAGCAAAAGACAGCAGCUCCACCUCUUAAUACUGAAUACUUAGAUGACUGCCAGAUGAAUAGCUGGAUCCUUUUGUGGCUAACUAACUCACCUGGUGUAGAGAAAGACAGUUGAUAGAUCAAAAAAGUAUACAGAUAACAGAGAGCAAGUGAUAUGGAUAUGAAAGACAUUAGGGAGCAUACAAAUGCAGUUUGGCCAGGAUUUAUUUCUAGUUAUGGACUGAUGAGGAGACAUGGGGAAAAAUUGUCAAAUUAAAAAAAAUCUUUUUGGCAAAUUUAAACUUUGCCUCUAUCCUUUUUCUCUUAAUCUGCUACCCAGAUAUGCACUUCAAAUAGGAAUGUGGGCCUACUGGGGCAUGAAAUAGUUGAGAGCUAUUCAACAAUGAGGAGAAUGAGAGAAAUCUAUUUAGAAGGACAUUUUAGAAUUUAAGCCAGUUGAACCUUAAUAGUCACAGAUAAUUUAACAUGACCCCUAAACCAUUAGGGGGGUUUUUACUACAAGGACUUGGCUCUGUAUUAACAAUGUCAUCCUUCUUAGAAAUUGAUAACUAUAGAAGUUAUCCUAUGUGGAGUAAGAUAAGAAUGACUGCUCUUCAUGUUUACAAGAGAUUAGAGUGGAUAAGAACCAGGUGAAACAGGAAUCCCAAGGGAUCUCCUUCCUUCUCAGAGUCAUAGCCAUUCCAGGGAAUCUGCACAUUUUCUGGCUUUCCCAUUUCUAUCAGAUGGUUACUUAGGAACAAAUGAAAAUCAGCAAAAGUGCCAUGAUAAUUAUCACAAAUUCGUAUGAAAUAAUGAGGCAGUUGAAUGCAUUUUUUCUGUCUUAUCUCUGUUUGUCAAUGAGCUAAACAGUGUGUUCAGGUCCCUCUGAAUACUUGGAGGAGCAAGAUUCUUUAGCCUUGUCUCACUGAUUCCCAAAGUUUAUCUAAGUCUUUCCAGAGGAGGACCUCUAUUGUCAACACUUGAUAGCCAAACCCUUCCUUUGUUUUUUUCCUUCUAUACACUACUUGUUAAUCAACUUGCACAAAACCAAUUUCUGGUUCAACUUUGUCCUGAGCUGCUAACUGGCUAUGACUUUAUUUUACAGGUGCAGUAACUUUGUUAGCUGUUAUUUUGAGGAGCUCCAGCCAUGGGCUCAUUUGAUAGAUUUAAUUGCCAACAUCUUGAACAAACCCCUUGAUUUUAAAAUUUUAAUUUAGCAUGUUUAACAUGAAAGAGGAUUGCCGAAUAAGUGUCCCAUUUGAUUUACUCUAUAAGUAAUACAGCUGUUUGUCUUUAUUUGAAAAAUAAAGGUAGACACUUAGAAAUGAAAGAUGAAAGCUUGGAAUGUGACCUGUAAGUCCAGAAAUCACAGACCAGAAAGCAAGAAAGGAACAUGAACAGCACAUGUCAAGUAUCCAGGAAUUUCUAAGUAUAAUGCAGAACUUGGGGCAUGAGAAAUAAUCUCUCUCUCUCUGUGCGUGUGUGUGUGUGUGUUUUCUUUAUCUGAGCAUGUUUUUUUAUAUACUGCCUUUUCUGGUAACUUCAUUAGGUCUGUAUAAUUAUAGUUUGCUUCAACCUUA
ensembl:lncRNA novel transcript